ACCCCGGUGGUGUAUCGGUUAACAUGACCGACUCUCAUAGGGAGUGAAGGUUCGGUUGCGUAAGGUUCGACUCCCUGUCGGAGUG